AGGGGCCACGAGCCAAGGAAAGGGCGAGGGACGGAUCUUCUCCACCCACCGCCAGCCCUGCUGCCCCCGACUUCAGCCCCUGAGACUGGCCUUACACCUGGAGCCUUCGAGACCUUGAGAGAAUAAACGUGUGCUGUUGCAAACCACCAGGUUUGUGGGUAAUUGGUUACAGCUGCAACAGGAGGCUAAUAAACCCAGAUUCAUUUAUUUUUAACAUGUUGUCCUUUGCUUUUCUGUUCUUUCUCUUCUGUGUAUAUAUGCUUUGUUAUUGGUGGUGCCGUUAUUAUUACUGAACAGCUUUUGAGAGUCAUGACCCGGCACGUUUUCCCUCAUAAAAGGGGAAAUGACAGGAAAUUUAAUCCAGGGCUGCUCUGCGAAAACUCGCCUUGUCAACCAUCACUGCCCCUGCUUUUCUUACUGCUGUGGCCAGUGGAGACGUUGUCCCGCCGUGCAAACCUGUGCUUCCCGAGGUUCUUCUAGAGGAUACUCUCUGCAUCUUCUUGUGGACUCUGCAUGAACACACACUCCCUGUCGGCCUGCAUUAGCAGAGGCUGUACCUCCCUUUGGCAUCUAGAUUUCUGGGCAAAGGAGACAGGGGUUUUCCUUAGGAGUGCAAAGACCUCUGGGAGGGAAGGAACUGAGUGCCUGCAACAGCCCCUUUCAAAGUGGGUGACACUGGAGAGACACCUGAGUGCCCCCGGAGGGAGAGGAGAUACUGAGCUGGCAUGACUGUAUAAAAUUCUCAGCAACCAUUUUGUCUAGAGCUGGAGCGACCUACAUACCCAAGCAUCUGGACCUGGACUGGUGCUUUGGGAGCAACGAGGGGGUGCCUGAGUCUGAUGUAAGUGAUGCACACAAUCCUGGGUCUGCCUGCAGGUUCACUGGCUGUGAAGGGAGACAAAGCUGGAUGUGGUGCUUCUAAGCACAUGGGGAUGCUUGAGAGCUUCCCUGGGAAGUGUCAGCACUGCAGAGUAUAGGUACCCCUGUCUGGUAAAAGUAGACCACACUGGAGAGCAGUGGUUAUUGAUUUUAGCAUCUGCCUUCCUCCGUAGAGUGAAAAUAUCUUGAGGGCAGUGCCAUGGUGCCUUAUCUGGGGCAUCUCCUAGACCUAGCAUUGCCUGGAUUGAUGCUUCGUUUACUGAAUUAAUGAAAUGACACCAAAUUAAGAACGUCCAUUCAAAUAUCAACUUCUCCAUAGAACUUCACAACUAACCUCAUUCUCUCCAUUCAGUUCAGUAAAUAUGCAAGAACUCUAUUAACUAUGCAU
rnacentral:lncRNA from 1 species